UACGAGGGGGGCGAGCGUUGUUCGGAAUUAUUGGGCGUAAAGGGUGCGUAGGCGGUUUGGUAAGUCUUAUGUGAAAUCUAUGGGCUCAACUCAUAGUCUGCAUGAGAAACUGCCGGGCUUGAGUGUGGGAGAGGUGAGUGGAAUUUCCGGUGUAGCGGUGAAAUGCGUAGAUAUCGGAAGGAACGUCAAUGGCGAAGGCAGCCACCUGGCAUCAUACUGACGCUGAGGCGCGAAAGCGUGGGGAGCGAACAGG
rnacentral:rRNA from 1 species